CUCAGUUCGGACUGCAGUCUGCAACUCGACUGCACGAAGCUGGAAUCGCUAGUAAUCGCGGAUCAGCACGCCGCGGUGAAUACGUUCCCGGGCCUUGUACACACCGCCCGUCACACCAUGGAAGUCUGCAAUGCCCGAAGCCGGUGGCCUAACCACUUAUGUGGAAGGAGCCGUCUAAGGCAGGGCAGAUGACUGGGGUGAAGUCGUAACAAGGUACC
rnacentral:rRNA from 1 species